rnacentral:rRNA from 1 species
AGAGUUUGAUCCUGGCUCAGGACGAACGCUGGCGGCGUGCAUUACCCAUGCAAGUCGGACGGUGGGGACUUCGGUUUCCACAGUGGCAGACGGCUGAGUAACACGUGAGGACCUAUCCAGUUGAGGGGGAUAGCCGUUCGAAAGGGCGGGUAAUACCGCGUGAGCUUGAUCCGCGUGAGGCGGAUUGAGGAAAGCCAAGAGAUUGGCGUGACUGGAGGGACUCGCGGCCCAUCAGGUAGUAGGUGAGGUAAAGGCUCACCUAGCCGAUGACGGGUAGCUGGUCUGAGAGGAUGAUCAGCCAGACUGGGACUGAGAGACGGCCCAGACUCCUACGGGGGGCAGCAGGGGGGGAUCUUGGUCAAUGGGGGAAACCCUGAACCAGCGACGCCGCGUGAGGGAAGAAGGUCUUUGGAUCGUAAACCUCUUUUGGCAGGGAAGAUGAUGACGGUACCUGUCGAAUAAGCCCCGGCUAACUACGUGCCAGCAGCCGCGGUAAUACGUAGGGGGCGAGCGUUGUCCGGAUUUACUGGGCGUAAAGGGCGCGUAGGCGGCCUGUUAGGUUGGCUGUGAAAUCUUUGGGCCCAACCCAGAGGGGUCAGCCGAGACCGGCGGGCUAGAGGGUGGUAGAGGAAGGUGGAAUUCCGGGUGUAGUGGUGAAAUGCGUAGAGAUCCGGAGGAACACCAGUGGCGAAGGCGGCCUUCUGGGCCAUACCUGACGCUGAGGCGCGAAAGCGUGGGGAGCGAACCGAAUUAGAUACUCGGGUAGUCCACGCCCUAAACGAUGGAUGCUAGGUGUCGGGGGUAUCGACCCCCCCGGUGCCCGAGCGAACGCAGUAAGCAUCCCGCCUGGGGAGUACGGCCGCAAGGCUAAAACUCAAAGGAAUUGACGG